GCGGGCGGCGCCCGGGGCGGGGCUGCCGUGAGGGGCGGGCGGUGCCCGGGACCCCGCCGGGCCUGGUGCCCGCCUGCCCCGGGCCCGGGAGCCCCGACACUGCCCUGCCCUUCGCGGCCCUCAUGCAUCGCGAUCCCCCGAGGUGUUUUGGAACCGAGGAUGAGCCUCUUGGUCAGCACCAAGAGCUGGGGAACGAUCACAGUGAACACCCACCUGUUUUUUCCAGAGCAGCACAACUGGUCUAUGUGGAACAUACCAGGAAACCAAGGGGGCGAUUGCCUGUGCUAUUUAUUUUUAUGGCUGUUGACAGCACUGAGAAACUUCUCUCAGCACAGCCAGAUUGCAGCAUUGAUGGCAGAGACUGGGAUGGAUGAACAAGGAUCAGCCUCACAAUGGUACAAGGUGGGCCAUAUCUCCAGAUAACAAGCCUUGUAGAAAAAAGCUCUGCAGUUAAUGAUGGAAAGCUGAAACCAGAGAUCAAAAGAAACUGAGUUCAAAAUUACAGAGAAAAGAAACUAGCACAAACUGUAUAAAGCUCAGUGCCAGCAUUCCACUGUGAUGAAAUACCUGUGAUCUUAAAAUAGCUGCUAUGGUGACUGUUCCAUAAUCAGAUCAAGAUUUAAGUCUAUACAUUGUUCUCCAGCAAAAACAGAUUUCCUAUUCACCAGCAGAUUUUUUCCAAAAAAUAUUUUGACUAUUACCUUUAUGUAGCAACUAGACUUGAAUAAUACCAUUCUUUAUUCAGUGCAAUAUUGUUCAAGUAAUUUCAUUCUACAAGUAACACAAAUCCUCACAAGGCUUGAAAUUAAUUUGCCUUAUUGUUUGCUUUUUAUUUCCCUUUAUUACACAGAGUAGUUACAAAGUGGCAAUAGACUAAUCUCUGUGCUUUAACAAUCCACACAGGUGUUCAUUUCCUAAAUGUUUUAAACCUGAAAUGAACCGUAUCAGAACUAGCAGACUAUUACCAGUUAUUAAAGGUUUCUUGUGGAACAUCUGACACCUGUAUUAAACUUGAAAUUGAAAGCUCUGUAAAUGUGAGUGCUUCACAUGGGUCCCCAGCCCAAUUACAUUAAACUCAUGAACUGCAGUUCAGGGAUGAUAGUGUGCUUUGGUAAUUCCCAGCAUGAAAUUGUCUCUUAACAUUGAAAUCUAUGAAGUGAAGACUGGAGUGUAAUGAACUAAUUUAGGAAUUUACUGGCUGUACAGUGGAAAUGCAUAUCUUUAAAUUAGAACAAUUUUCCUAGCAGUGCCUUUAUAGUUUGGGCAGUCCUUUCUUCAGAAUUGCAAGUACCAGGAAGAAAUAUCUACUUGCUUAAUGAAAUAAAAAGCAUCAAGUGGAGCUCUUAGCCUUUUCUUAGGAAAAAGGCUUUGCACUUUUGAUUGGAGUAUAAAAAUCAGUGGAAAAAUCUGGAGCAUAAAUUUGAACGAAAUACUUUUUUAUUGUUAUUUUCUUAGGAUGUGAUAGCAUUCAUCCAUUCCCUGGAAAAACCCCUUUGAUAUACAGAAGUAUAAAUAUGAUACUGAUUUGGUUGUUGGUUUGUUUGGGUUUGAUGUUUUUUUUGGGUUUUUUUCUCCACCUAUAAUUAGAAUGCUAAUAAUUGAAUAUUAAGAAUAUGCAUCAGUGAAAAUAAGUGGGGUUUUUUGCAACAAUUUGAAGAAGGCAAGCUUCAAAAGCAUUUUCAAUAAAGGCUACAAGGAAUCAAAUUAUUUACAGCACGUGAUGUGUUUGAUUUACUGCAGCAAGUAUGGAAGUGGAUUGAAGACUUGUAACAAACAUUGUUCAUUUGUAGCUGAUCUUAUUUGUUUCUUAAUCAGUUGAACUCCCAACAGUGAUUAAAGAUUAGGAUUUUUAAAAUUAAACAGGAAAAAAAACCCGCACUUUUCAUGAGAGCCAUGGCAAACAGCUUUUAAGAAUAUCUUGCUCUCAGUGAUAAGAGGGGUCCAUAUAGGCAGUAGCAUUAAUCUAGAUGGGUUACAAGGCAGCUCCAAGUUUUCCUGAGGCACAGAGUUUUAACAGAAAUAAACCUCAGAGGUAGGUAAAGGAACACAAGUAUUAAAAUGAGAUAAUUAGGCUAGAACAGCAGAAAGGAAGCUCACACAGCAAGGGGCUUUCCAAAAUAUUAAACCUGUAUGUUUAAAUAAAUCAUUUACUAUGCUGAAGAGCAGGAAAAGAAGAGCUUGCUUUUAUGCUGACUGAGCAAAGAGAAAGACCAAAGGAAAGAGUAUACAAGGGACAAUGGAAUGUUUGUUCUAAAGACAAGUUCUUCAAUUCUGAAGCUCCACUAAUAUCAAACAUUUGAAAAAAAAUGAAGAUCCCAUAAAUAGCUAAGUAAAUGCCUCUGGGAAUUACUGCAUAUUCA